rnacentral:rRNA from 1 species
GUAACCGCCCUCCAAGGCCGCGGUUCAGUAGCCGCCCUGAGAGGUUAAUUGCCCCCAUGGGAACUGAGACACGUCCCAGAUCCUACCGGAGGCCAGCAGUGGGGAAUAUUGCGCAAUGGGGGAAAUCCUGACGCAGCAUCGCCGCGUGGAGGAAGAAGGUCUUCGGAUUGUAGACUCCUGUCUUCUGUGACGAUAAUGACGGUACCAGAAGAGGAAGCCACGGCUAACUACGUGCCAGCAGCCGCGGUAAUACGUAGGUGGCGAGCGUUGUCCGGAAUUACUGGGCGUAAAGGGCGCGUAGGCGGUUCUUUAAGUUAGAUGUGAAAACCCAGGGCUUAACUUUGGGAGUGCAUUUAAAACUGAAGGACUCGAGUGCAGGAGAGGUAAGUGGAAUUCCUAGUGUAGCGGUGAAAUGCGUAGAUAUUAGGAGGAACACCAGUGGCGAAGGCGACUUACUGGACUGUAACUGACGCUGAGGCGCGAAAGCGUGGGGAGCAAACAGGAUUAGAUACCCUGGUAGUCCACGCUGUAAACGAUGGAUACUAGGUGUGGGAGGUAUCGACCCCUUCCGUGCCGCAGCUAACGCAUUAAGUAUUCCACCUGGGGAGUACGAUCGCAAGGUUGCUGUCG